GCUUGCUUCAGUGACACAUAUACUAAAAUUGGAAUGAUACAGAAAAGAUUAGCACAGUACCUGCACAAGCAAGGAUGACAUGCAAAUUCGUGAAGUGUUCCAUAAAAAA